rnacentral:rRNA from 1 species
UACGUAGGGUGCGAGCGUUAAUCGGAAUUACUGGGCGUAAAGCGUGCGCAGGCGGUUUUGUAAGUCAGAUGUGAAAUCCCCGGGCUUAACCUGGGAACUGCGUUUGAAACUACAAGGCUAGAGUGUGGCAGAGGGGGGUGGAAUUCCACGUGUAGCAGUGAAAUGCGUAGAGAUGUGGAGGAACACCGAUGGCGAAGGCAGCCCCCUGGGUUAACACUGACGCUCAGGCACGAAAGCGUGGGAGCAAACAGG